ACCUGGGUGGCUCAGUCGGUUGAGCGUCUGACUUCAACUCAGGCCAUAAUCUCACAGCUCAUGAGUUCGAGCCUCAUGUCAGGCU
rfam:Felis catus isolate Cinnamon breed Abyssinian chromosome X, whole genome shotgun sequence.